UACGUAGGGGGCUAGCGUUGUCCGGAAUCAUUGGGCGUAAAGAGCGUGUAGGCGGCCAGGUAGGUCCGUUGUGAAAACUCGAGGCUCAACCUCGAGACGUCGGCGGAAACCCUCUGGCUAGAGUCCGGAAGAGGAGAGUGGAAUUCCUGGUGUAGCGGUGAAAUGCGCAGAUAUCAGGAGGAACACCGAUGGCGAAGGCAGGUCUCUGGGCAUUAACUGACGCUGAGGAGCGAAAGCAUGGGGAGCGAACAGG
rnacentral:rRNA from 1 species